UGGGGAAUAUUGGACAAUGGGCGCAAGCCUGAUCCAGCCAUGCCGCGUGAGUGAUGAAGGCCCUAGGGUUGUAAAGCUCUUUCACCGGAGAAGAUAAUGACGGUAUCCGGAGAAGAAGCCCCGGCUAACUUCGUGCCAGCAGCCGCGGUAAUACGAAGGGGGCUAGCGUUGUUCGGAUUUACUGGGCGUAAAGCGCACGUAGGCGGAUCGAUCAGUCAGGGGUGAAAUCCCAGAGCUCAACUCUGGAACUGCCUUUGAUACUGUCGAUCUGGAGUAUGGAAGAGGUGAGUGGAAUUCCGAGUGUAGAGGUGAAAUUCGUAGAUAUUCGGAGGAACACCAGUGGCGAAGGCGGCUCACUGGUCCAUUACUGACGCUGAGGUGCGAAAGCGUGGGGAGCAAACA
rnacentral:rRNA from 1 species